AAGAUCGAAGGAUGCCUAGAGAGUGUUUCCAAAAAUUAACAAGCUAUUGAAAUAAGAACUAAUAAACGUCCUAAGUACUAGGGGCUGGAUCUUCCUCAGUCUCCCACGCCUGCUCCAAGGGUACCUGAUCACCUACUGCUCACAUCCAAAGGAUUAGAUGAUCAUCACAAGGGGGAAGGCAAACACAUACAAACAUACAAGUGCAAGGGUGAGCUAGGUCUCAAACAAUCAUACAAUUUAUUGCAAGAACAUUCAUACACACUUAAACAUGUAAGUCAUCAUAAACAUAAACAUUCAUUUCACAAAACUCACUAAAGUAAACAUCAUGUCAUGUUAAGACCCCUAGACACGUCCGGACAUAGAAUGUAUAUAGAGCUGGGGCGGGUUGUGCACUUGUGGUGGCCUCUACUGCUUUGCAAAGUCAUUGCCGAGGGGUUUCACCUGACCACACACAAGGCUGGUCCGUUACCGCGGAAUAGACCUCCAGUGAUAGCGCCUACCCUAGGACCUCCCACUACUCUCACCACACGCGUCAAUCCUCUCUAAGUGAGAAUGAAAGACCGUUAGAGUGUUAGGGAUAACCCCCCAUAGUGGAAGCCUCUUACAUACAUUCAAUACACUAACUGAUCUCACCGAGAGAUCUUAAUUUCAUAUUCAAUC
rnacentral:lncRNA from 1 species